CUGUCGGCCCGAGCCUAGUGGCCCCGCGGAGCGGCGCGCUCACGCCUGCAGGGGGAGGGCGGACCGGGAGCGGGACCGGCCAGGCCGCGGCGGGCGCUGUUUCUCUUUCACUUUCCUUCGGAGGCCGGCGCGCUGGCGGGCAAGGAGCGGCGGCGGCGGCCCGGGCUAUGGGAAAGCAGAACCCCCAAAAGGAGUGAUGAACAGCAGUCUCGUGAUAAAUCUGGAUGUUAGUUCUCAUGUCUCAGAAUAUCAGAUUGGGAACCGCUGCACCAGCUCCUGGGAUCAGACUUUUCAUCCGCUUACUCCCCCUCUUUGCCUGAACUACUACUAAGCCAGCUCACUGCGAAUGGCUACCCAAAGGAAACACUUGGUGAAAGAUUUUAAUCCUUACAUUACCUGCUAUAUUUGUAAAGGGUAUCUGAUCAAGCCAACUACUGUGACAGAAUGUCUUCAUACCUUCUGCAAGACUUGUAUUGUUCAGCACUUUGAAGAUAGCAAUGAUUGUCCCAGGUGUGGCAACCAAGUUCAUGAGACAAAUCCAUUAGAAAUGUUGAGGUUGGAUAAUACAUUGGAGGAAAUUAUAUUUAAGCUGGUUCCUGGACUGCGAGAACAAGAACUUGAGCGUGAAUCUGAGUUUUGGAAGAAAAAUAAGCCUCAAGAAAAUGGACAAGAUACUUCGAAAGUGGACAAGCCUAAAGCAGAUGAAGAAGGUGAUGAAAAUCAGGAUGAUAAAGACUAUCAUAGAAGUGACCCACAAAUUGCUAUCUGUCUAGAUUGUUUACGAAAUAAUGGACAAUCAGGAGACAAUGUAGUCAAGGGUCUAAUGAAGAAAUUCAUUCGAUGUUCUACACGUGUAACUGUGGGAACUAUUAAAAAAUUUCUAAGUUUAAAACUAAAACUUCCAAGUUCUUAUGAGUUGGAUGUACUGUGCAAUGGUGAAAUUAUGGGAAAGGAUCAUACUAUGGAAUUCAUCUAUAUGACAAGAUGGCGACUAAGAGGAGAAAACGUAUCUCCUUCACUUUGAAAGUAUAAAAUCAGGUCUAAAGGUUUCGGUGUCUGAACUGCUCAGCUUCGCAAGUCUGCUCUCAGGAUGGCCCUUUGUAUCAGUCAUACCCUAUGGUAUUGCAGUAUCGACCAAGAAUUGAUUUCGGUUAGACCAAGGGGCCUAGAAUUCACUGAAAUGAAUCCUGCACUAUUUGUUUACUCGUCGACAGAUUGCACAGUGACUGGUGUGUGGACUAGAGGGACACAAUCCGUUUUCAGCAUGCAAAUAAGGCCAUUGUCUGUCUCUAAAUUGUUAGUUGCAUUCAUGUUGUUUUUAUUAAGAGCAAAGCAGGUGCCAUUCUGCUACUGAACCAUCUGUGUGUGGUAUUCGUGCUGUCUCACAGUGUCUCAUAGUUGAAAUCAUGGUAUACCGCCAUGAUUUGGCCUUUUGAAUAUUUUGCUUGCCUGUUUCAAGAUUGUCCUAAUGUUUAAUUACACUAGUAAUAUGGCUCAAUCUUUGUGGUGUUGCAGUUUUCACAUACUUACUAUUUUAUUAAUUCUUCUUUAAAUAGAGUACUGUACAAGAAUCUGAUAAUUAUAUCUGAAGUUAUUUUGUAUGGAAAUAUAUUUAGAAAAGUGGUUUCUGAGCCACCAUCUUACUCUUGCUAAGCUUUUUGUGUAAAAAAAAAUUCAUUCUUGAGUGUGUAAGUCAUUUUAUGAAGAAUUCCAAUUAUUUAAUGUUGGAGCACAUCAUAAUUGUCAACAUUGAAAGCAUCUCUGUGGUCUACCAGUUGCCCAAGGAAGGCAUGUUAGCCCUCCAGAUCAAAAUGUAUGUAAUUUCUUGAACAACCGAAGUUAGAUUCACAAUCAUUUGAAAUGUUGGCAGCUGACCACAUUUACUUCUAAUAAGAUCAAUGUGUAAGUAAGGUUCAUCUUUUGUAAUGCCUUAUGAGAAGUGGGUGCUGCUUCAUGACACUUCAUUGUAUAGCCCAUUUUAUGUUUGUACCAUUACAUUGCUGUUGUCAUUUAACGAAUACAUUGUUUUUCUUUUAUUCUGGCCUUAGGUGUGUUUCAUUGUGGCAUGCGAAAGAUUGUGAAUGAUGAUUCUAAAUGUUAGGUUUUUUAAGAACAGAUAACAUUAGCUAUUUUAUGGAUUUCAAAUAUCUCAAAAAUAAUUGUAGGUUAAAAAUGCUAGUUAUCACAUUUCCAAAACGUAUGCAUAAAAGAUAAUACAGUUUAGUAGUUAAAUAUGCUAACCAAAAUUAAGGGUUUGAGAAUAUUUUAUUUUAGCUAUUAUAAUCAGAGGGAAAUUGUAUUAUUUUAUACAUGAGUUUAUUAAAAUUCAGAACUGUGAUAAUUUCCUUGAUGUUGCUGUUUUGUUUUGGAUUAAUCUGCAAGUCACAAAAAGUCUUGUUCCCUUAAACAAUAUAAUUUUUUGAAUUUUAAAUCUUUUAAAAUUUAGUUUUCCAAAAACGUCCUUGGAAUUUGCUUUAACAAUUACUUUUAACCUCUGAAAAUUAGAGAAAUGCUUAGAAAAUAGCAAAAACUGCUUGUUUUGGAAAUCUGACAUGAGCACAAUCUGUGUGUUAAACACAUGGCUUUUAUACUGUAUACAUGAGAGAAAUGCUAUAUUUUCUAGUCAGAUGUAUCACAAAUUAAUGCCUUCUAAAUACCAAAUUGCUUCAUACAACGAAAAUACUAUAUAACUCCAAGGAACAUGCAAAAUACAGCUCAAUCUCAAUGCAUUUUAUCAUAUAAAAGACCUGAAGUUCAUAAUUUUUUAUAUUUUUUCUAAGUCAAACAGUCUAUAUAAAAGUUUUCUGAUGUUCUGACUUGUGAACAGGGGUAGGCAUGGCAGUUUUUUGUUUGUUUCUUUAUAUUUUUUAGUUCUUUGAAAAGCUCACAUGCAGAAUUUAAAAUGGUUUCAUUAGUUCCUUAAAUGCUUUGAAAAACAAUUAGGUUCAACCGAAAAUUGAAUUUAUUAUCCAGCUACAGAAAAAAAUGUUUUGUGAAAUCUAGUUCCUACAUAUUUUUAAAAUUUUUUUUACAUUGGUAUAAAUUUGUCAUACCUACAUCAAUGAUUACCAUAGUGUUUUCAAUUUGGGAGAUAAUUUUAAUUCAAAAUGAAUUGAGCACAUUUUGAAAACCACAAAUUAAGCGUAAGUGUUUUGGCUCCCAAGUCAAAACUUUAUGGCCAUAAAUAAGUUUCAGUCUGAAGAUCUCUUUCAAUUUGGUUCUUGCCUGAUCAUAUGUAAUUCCACCAUUUUCUUUGUAUUUAGGGAAAUAGUUAUAGAACUGAAAAUAGUUUAUAUAAAAUUCCUUUAUGAAAUGUUAACACAUUGACAUUUUUAUUGGAAUGCAGUGGAAGACUAUGUGCCAAAAUAUGUAAGAAUCUUAGUAUUGGUUGUCAUUCUGGAAUAGGUACACAUUUGUUUUUAUGGUCCUGAGUGAUGUGGUAUUGCUACUAGAAACCCAGAUCUCUUCAGCUAACCUCUUAUAGUAUAUCAACUGUGAGUUUCUAAGUAUGGGACUACUUUUCUGGCUAGUAGUACACUAAAUUCCCUGCUAAUUAUCCCUUAUAUCAGAUUAUAGAACUUGCAGGAAACCAAAUAUAGAGAAAAUAUACAAGCACCUCUUUUGGUUAACUUUAUAAAUAUAGGGUGCAUUAAAAAAGACUUUUAAAUAAGAACCUGUUGUCUGCAUCUGUUAAAUCACGUAAUAAACCCAAUUUAAAUUAUUCUUUAGUCUGUUAUUUCUUAAGCAAUAAAUUGUAAGAAUUGUAUUAUGUCCAUAAAAGAUUGUGUUUUCUGUUUUAUUUGCCGUAAAAGUCAUAUAUGAAAGAGUCAAGGAACUUUAGAUAAUAAAAAAUGUGUAUAGAUAUAAAGAUCACUUUAAAUGGAAGUAGUCACAUUGUUUUAAUAGAGAAAUCAAAAUAUAGCCUUUCUCUAAAUUAACAAAACACUAGGUUAAUAAGAUACUUAAGUAUGACAAAAAAGAUUUGUUGAUAAGGUAAAAAUCUGGGGAUUAGGUAACUUUACUAAUGCCUUUAGCUACUUCUAGAAAAGUGUACUAUUUCUUUACUCAUUGAACAUCUGUCCCAUACUAUUGUACCACAUUUUAUAAAUGUAGUGCGUUUGCUCAAUUAUAUUAUACACUCGUGUUACAUAAAUUUAAAGUGACUCCUUCAGAAAUAUAAAUGUUAUAUACUAUAUUGAACUAAUUUCUAGCUUUAUUAAAUAUUAAAAAGAAAGUGCCUCAUUGCUAAACGUGCAUUUCUGUUUUAGAUUUACUGUGUAAAUUUUGAGUUUUCUGUACCUGUCCCUUAUCAUUGGUUUCAUAUUUAUAUAGGCACUUGCAAGUUAGAGUAAUCACUUUUUAAAAGAUUUUCAUAAGAAUAUAGAUAUCACCAAAGACAUUUUACUGUUAAUUAGUAACCAUGUUGGAGAAACAGUUUUAGCAGUUCAGAGGUUGGCAAUUUUUAGACUGUGACUUAAUUUUUUAUAGGCAGGCAAUAACAUUGAUUAAUUCUAAAGUAUCACCAAAGAAAGGCUUUCAUGUAAAUUUUCUUGGUGAGACUAGUCAAAUGCAGGUUUUUCUUGAAAUAAUCAAAGCACAUUUGCUUUUGAACAUAUCCAGUUAUCUUAUCUCCAUCUGACACAUUUUAAGAAAUUCUUAAAUGUGAGAAAUUAAAAAACAACAAGCUUCUCUCUGAAGGAAAAGUGGGAAAAGUGCAUACUUUUGAAAGAAAAUUGAAACUGAGUUUAUAAAUUUUAAUUUGAGAUGCUUUUUGUCUCACAGACAUAACAUAAAUUGCUCUUAGCUCCUGGGCUCUUAGUAAUAUGUAAAGUUUCAUUAAAGAUAGAUUUUGAUAAAAGUGCUGAUAUGGUUAUAUAUGUAGAACAUAGUACCUUCUACUGAAUUUACAAAAAUGCUCUUUCUAUAUUUAAAAGCAAAAUUUUCCUAAGGGCCUAUGUUUCUUGUUGCUCAGCAGUUACUUCAUUGUUAUUAAAAUUUUGCCAUCACAUCCAAAUUUGGCAAAAUGGAUCACAGAACAAGAGCAUCUCUAAUACCAAAAGAGAUGUGUACCUUUAUGUCUUUUCUCCUGUGAAGUAAAACUCUACUCAUAGCUCACUAGUUAGACCCCCUCAGGAUAAAAUUAAUGCACAUUGUGUCACGUACUCUGGUGCAGAGUAAAUUUUCCAGUAAGCUAAACUUUAUGCUACCAAAAUACUGGUUGAUUAUACUAAUUUCAAAAAUGAAUUAUUUUGCCAUAAUUUUUCUGGAUUAGAAACAAAAAUUUAAACUGUUAUUAAGUUGUAUGUACCUGUUAUCCAGAGAGCAAUAAAAAAUGUUUUAUAUCUGCUAAAUAUGGUGUUUGAAAGAUUUAAAAAAAUAUUAAAGACUCAGAAGCCUUCUCAAAACACACAAAAAAAAUGGCCAGUUGUUUCUGGGUUUACUUGAUAUACCUAGUUCAGUAGUAUUUUGAUGGAAAACAGAGAUCAAAUGUUUGAAAAUACAGUUACGUAGUACAUAGUUUUCAUUGUUGUAUUUUGGUUUUUUAAGUGUUUUUUUCUGUAAUUUAAAAUUUUAUUUGCUAUUAUAGUGUCAAAAAAAAUAUUUGAGUAUUUCCUUUUAAGAAGGUUUUAAAAUUUAGCUUAAAAAUUACUUCUAAUGCUCAUGCAAAUGUCUGUAUACUCAUGCUCCUUUUUUUAUGAUUCAAAACUUAAGACUGGUUUUUCAGAAAUGAUUUUUUUAAUUUUAAUUAUAUUUAAGUCUGCAAUCAAGUGAAACAUGGGUCUAGUUUUCUUCCAUCUUAUAGAACUUCAUGAAAUAAGAAACUAAAAGUACAAAUGAAAAUUAAGUAUUUCUGGAUAAUGUAGAGAUAAUAAAAAGAUUAAUUUAUUUAUCCAUACACUUCAUAUCAAUUCACUGGAGCAGGAAUUCUACACGUUAAAAUUCUUUUGCUGUAUUUUUUAGACCAGGGAUGGGGGCCUAAGUGUCCUUAUGAAGCUGUGGUCUAUGAUGAGAGCUUGUGGGGAGAGAGGAUCCAUGUUCUGCUUUCCUGCAUCUGGCAGUGCAACAGUGAUCAUCAGUUUUUAUUAGAGUAGCCCUCACAGUAAACUACUAUAGAAUAUAUUGUAAAGUUAUGUUGCUAGUUUUACUUUGAAAUAUGAAAUAUUUUAAGCUUUUGUCAAAAGUGGUAACAUCUUAAUACAAAUAAAAACCUUUUUGUGGUUGUAAGAUUUAGCUUAUAAAUCAUUCAAAUUGAAGUGAAAGAUUUACCAGGUCAUUGUUAAUGACUUAGUCUAUUAAGAAUAUAUGUAUUUUUUUAAAAGAAAAGCACUUGUAGAUAUUUAAUCAGUACAAGAUACAUGUCUGUUUUGCAGAAAUAAAAUGCUGCUUAGAGAUUCUCUUUAAAUAUUUUUUAUUUUUGUGCCCAAAUGUAUUUUCUGUUGAUCUAUGGAAUGUUCUGUACAAAGCUGUAUGAUUGUACUGUUGAAGCUAGAUACUUUUUUUAAUCUGGACUUAGCCAAAUAUAUUUGACCAUGUUAAAGAUAGUAUCUUUGUUAUUAAAAAUUUGAUUGCAUAA